rnacentral:lncRNA from 1 species
GAGCACAAGGCCUGGGGGCCCACAAACCUGGGUCUGUAUGCCCACUCUUCAUUAGCAGCUCCAGGACCAAGUGCGGUCAGUUUUCUGGAACUCGUUUCCAUAUCUCCACUGUGAUGUAAGGAUGUGCAUGGAUCCUAAAUGUGAGAAGCUGGCAAUCACCAGGUCCCUGGCAAGUGCUCAGAGUCUGAGCUACCAUCAAAAUCAAGGGCACAGGGGGAAGCUAACUGCUUCUCUGAAUACUCUAAGGGAGGCAGAUCUAGGCCAGGUGACCAGGGUUUACAAGUCCCAGGACAGCAGGUUGGGCUUGGUGCACGGAAGAACUGAUGAGCAGCUUCACUCAUGCAGCAGGACAGAUCAGGACAAAGCCAUGCUGGAGUUGGGGCCACACAUCUGCUGAAAACCCCCAACACUCUUUUUCCCAGCAGCAGCUUCCAAGCAAUUCCUGAGGCCCUCCCACCGGCUAACCAGAAAGGAACCCACCAUUGGUCUCCUUAGUAACGACUUCCAAGGCCCCUUGCACAUCUGAAAAGCGCACAGUGUGAUUUCCAGACCCAAGUUAGACAGCGAUUUCUUCAAAGUGCAACGCCCUCAAUUAAUGAACCCUCUGGGAAUGAAGUACCUUCUAACAAAAACAUUGUUCAAAAUAAAGCUGGAAAAAAACCUCACACAGCCCCUAGGACAGAGAUGUGAGUGUUGUUGCCCAGUCACAACCAUGACAAGGCGAUGUGGUUACACGGUAGGGUCAGAGGUAGGCAGUCUCCAGCCAUUCCCAGCAGGUGACCUUGGCCAGUUACUUGACCUUCAACUUGGUUUCCUUGUCUGCAAGAUGAGGAUGAUGACAGGCAACUCCCACGGCGGGAGUGCAGACUGCAGAACAGUCACUCAUGCAGUAACUACCUGCUGAGCACCCCUGUGCAUCAGGUGGCCUUGUUCCUGCGGCGGGGAUACAGCAAGGAACACAGCCCUGCCCCGUGGAGCUCAUAUUCUGUGGGGUAGCGGGUGGAGAAAACAUAUUAAAGACUGCUGAACUCACACAUGAUUUUCUGAAGCGGGCAGAAGAGAUGGCAGAUCAAACCGGGGUCAGAAUCUAGAAGAUGACUGCCUAACCAGAUGUGGAUAAAUCACAGGACCACAGGGCAUCUCCGCAGGGUCUUAAUUAAGGAACUUGAGGUGAAAAUGGGGCCAGGACACAUGGACAUUGUUAGCCGUGGCCCCUCUGGAGGCCACAGGUAACAACAUUUCAAGCCAUUUCACCAGGUUAGCCUCAGCCCAGACCAAAACAGAGAAAUUGACCAGCCAGAAAGACAACCAUACCCGGAAUCUGGUCCGGAGGCCUCCGCCAAGGGCACCAUCAGGUGGAUGCCAGGAAAGGCAUGCAGGAGGUCAGGAUAUGGGACAGAACCUCUAGGCAAGAAGGUCCCGCAGAUGGUACCCAUGGUGGGCAUCCACCGGUUUUUGUUUUGUUUUGUUUUUGUCUGCAGCUUCUGCUCACCCUACUUCCCAGGGACUUCCCAGUGGUAACCCCAGUUUUGUCUGGAGAUCCGCCCCUCCCCAACUCUGGUCUUGUGGUCAGGUGGAGAUGACCAGCUCCAGGGCCAGCCCAUCAUUUGCCUGGCCAUGGAGUCUAGUUCCAGAUGGAAACAGAAUCCCAUCAAAGCCAUUAUGAUGGUGUGAGACUUUUGAGGCAGAGGUUAACGUCAUUUCUGGGGGACUUGGAGUUAGGUCAUUCACACAUGGUGGAGACAGGAAUCUACAGACCAGGGAUCAGCCCCAAGGCUAUGAUCUUUGUGCUGCGCCGCUCUACCCCUGAGCAGACAGGCCAGAGGUCCAGAGAGGGCUGUGCUGGCAGAGUUCAUACUUUGAUAACUGAACCCUAGAGUAAGCCUGCCCUGGAAAUGCCAGCUCAAGGGACUGACAGGCAUAAUGCUCUUUGGGAGAGAAAUGCCACAUCUGCAGCGACACGCAUCCUAACACUGUCCCAGGACUGGGGAACCAGCGGAGGAGCAGCUGAUAAAUGUCAAGGCACACAGUAAUCCUGGGUAAUCCAUUCAGAGCUGGCAGUAAUCUAAACUUUCUGUACAGCAGUGACUCUGAGCUAUCAGUCACAAUGCAAGAGGGAGCCUUGAGGGUCCUCCAGGAUGUUUGCCAAGGGCACAGGCCCAAAGCCAGAAAAGGUACCCAACAGGGAUACCAUCAGGAAGAAGUUGGAAACAAAAGAUAAAGCACUCUACCUGAGGGAAGUACCCCAGCUGCAGGGGCCUCCUGGAGACAUGCUCACCUGAGCUGGCUCAUGUGCUGCUGAGGCUGGAUGGAAUGGCACAUGGCAACAUGCUUUGUCAACGCCACUAUGCAAGAUGGGUGUCAUUAUAACCGUG